GACGAAGGGGGCUAGCGUUGUUCGGAAUUACUGGGCGUAAAGCGAGUGUAGGCGGUUGUCCAAGUUGGAUGUGAAAGCCUUGAGCUCAACUCAAGAAAUGCAUUCAGGACUGGAUGACUAGAGGACCGGAGAGGAUAGUGGAAUUCCCAGUGUAGUGGUGAAAUACGUAGAGAUUGGGAAGAACACCAGUGGCGAAGGCGGCUAUCUGGACGAGUACUGACGCUGAGACGCGAAAGCGUGGGGAGCAAACAGG
rnacentral:rRNA from 1 species